AGCCUGUUCAGUGAUGUUGUUAAGCGGCCACACAAGCAGGAUGGCGUCGACCGAGUAUCAAAAUUUAGAUCCUCUGAUGUUCUCUCGGCGUCAGAAACGGAAAUCGGAUUCCCUCGAUCAAAUGAUAAUGCUGCAGGAAUCACGAAAGAGAGUAUUUCAGAUCAACAAAAUCUUAAAGAAGCCUGAACAAGAAAGAAGUGCUGAGGAGUCUGUAAUUCUUGAAACAAAUCCAGAUCUUGUUAAAAAAGCUGUAGAAAGAGCAAAAAUUCGAUGUAAAUUAAAAAGACGAGCAUUAGAGAUUGAAGAUUCUGCUGAAGUACUCAAACAGAAAUGUGAUCAACUUGCUGAAGCUAUUAAGAAGUCAAAAGGUAUCUGUGUCUAUACUGGAGCAGGAAUCAGUACAGCUGCUUCAAUUCCUGACUAUAGAGGACCAAACGGUGUAUGGACACUUCUCCAAAAGGGACAAGAAUUAAAGCCUCAACAAUUUACUGAUGCAGAACCAACCAAAACACACAUGGGUCUGCUAACGCUUUACAAGCAUGGCAAGUUAAAACAUGUUGUAUCCCAGAAUUGCGAUGGACUUCAUCUCAGAAGUGGUCUCUCGAAAAGAAUCUUAUCUGAGGUUCACGGCAAUAUGUACUUAGAGAUGUGUUACAAAUGUAAACCUUUUAAAGAAUACCUGCGCCUGUUUGAUGUCACCGAGAAGACAGGUGUACGCAGGCAUCAUACAUCCCGACGCUGUCACUUCUGUAAAAACCUUCUUAGUGACACUAUUGUCCAUUUUGGUGAGAAAGGGCGCCUGUGUUCUCCAUACCGGUGGAAAGAGGCUGCAGCAGCAGCCAAAAACUGUGAUGUUAUUUUGUGCCUUGGAACCAGUUUGAAGGUACUAAAGAAAUACACUUGUCUAUGGUGUAUGGACAGAAAACCUUCAAAACGACCCAAACUUUUUAUUGUAAAUUUACAAUGGACACCAAAAGAUGUCUGUGCAACUUUAAAGAUCAAUGGAAGAUGUGAUGAUGUCAUGGAUCAAAUAAUGAAAAAAUUAGGGUGGAAAAUUACUGAAUAUUUAAGGGAAAAGGAUCCUAUGUUCCGUUUUGCUGUCCCUUUACGUGCCCAUGAAUACAAGAGUACCACUUCUAAACAACUUAAAGUGCCUGACUCCAUGAAGGAAAAAUUUUGUAUAAAGUCCAAGAAAUCGAAUUCUGAAUCUAUGCAGAGUAAGGAAACUGAACAAUCAUCUCCUGCCGUGAUAUCUUCCAUUAAAACCGAAAUCCAAAGCCAACAUUCUUGCCAAGCACUAUCAUCUUUGCAAAGUUCAUCUGAAAAGAAUUUCCCACAUGACAAACACCACCUACCCAACGCCUUAGACUCCAGUUAUGAGAACACGAAUUUAAAAUUAACUUUGAAAAGCAAUAUGUGUAGUUGUAGGUUUGUUGACAGCAGUGAAUGUACGCUAUGUUUUCUUAAGAACUCUUGUGAUAAAGACCAUUCCUAUUGCCGCCGGCGGCAAAGGAAUUUUCCAUGUUCCUUAAACACCGUACAGAAAAAGUCCCUCCCUUUGCCUUGGUGCUCAGUUGCAAAUAUCUUGAUGGAGCAUGAUUAUCUUGCUUGGAAUCAGUUUCACACUCUUGUCGAAGCUGCUGGUUUUGUAGUCAGUCAACCCCCGGCAUUGGCUGAUUGCAAACCUACCGUGUGCCAAGACGAACAAUUAGCCAACAGUAAAUGUAACGUGGACUAUCGUCCUAAUUUUGAAUCUUUGCACAGCUCUAAAUCAUUACCAAAGUUUUGUAACACUAGUAGCAAUAGCAGUAGUAGUAGUAGUAUUUGUAGCAGUAGUGGUAGUAGUGAGAGUAAUAGCAGCAACCAAACUAACGAAUCUCAAAGAAAUACGACUUCCAAACCUACUACUACUACUACUACUACUACUACUACUAUUACUACUACUACUCCUCGUUAUUGUGUUAGUUGUUUUUAUAACAAAGUGAAGUUCUCUAAGUUGUUAGCUCUGCAAGAUGAUGAUGAUGAUGAUGAUGAUGAUGAUGAUGGAGUGGGUCAUUCCAGUUCGAAUAAUGCAGAGUCUGGUGAUCGUGUUUCAGCAGCCAAUAGUGUUCAUAUCAAAACAGAAUCUGCUCAACCGGUUGCAGACCUCUGCAAAGAAGAGGGGGAAGGUGAAGAAGUAGAUGCUAGUUUUAAGUCUUCUUCGCAAGGUAAAUUAUACACUCAGUCUCGAUCUCGUUCAAUUCCAGGAUGGUUUGGUAAAGGUCUCAGCAUUCGCAAGAAAAGAAAACGAUUUUGACAAACUUUUAAAUGAUUAGGGAGAAAGCUCUUCAUAUUUGCAAUAAUAAUAAUAAUGAUAAUAAUAAUAAUGAAUAAUAAGGGUUUCAGAUUUUGGCACAAGGCCAGCAAUUUUAGAAGAGGGAUUAAGUCGAUUAUGCUAACCUUAGUGUUCAACUUUACUUUAUUGGCCCCAAAAUGAUAAAAGGUAAAGUUGGCCUCUGCAGAGUUUGAACUCAGAAUGUAAAGAUUGACAAAAUACUGCUAGGCCCUUUUUGCAGUGUAUUAACAAUUCUGCCAACUUUCUGUUUUGGUAAUAAUAAUAUGAUGUUGAUUUUUUUACUUUUCUUUUAUGAGAUAGUCAGAGGAAGGGAAAUAGUCUCCAUUACCUUUGUAGGUUCUCCCUGCUUGAUAAAAUUAGCAUAAAACAUCAUGAGUCUGUGAAGAAUAUAUACUGUUGAUUCAGUCAAUCCGAGUAUAUAACUGGUUCUUAUUUCAUUGAAUUCUUCUCUACUGAUUUGGUGUUAGGAAGGGCAUCCAGCUGUAGAAACAUUGCCAGAUCAGACUGGAGCCUGGUGCAGCCUUCUGCCUUCCCAGACCCC